rnacentral:rRNA from 1 species
AUUGAACGCUGGCGGCAGGCCUAACACAUGCAAGUCGAGCGGAUGAAGGGAGCUUGCUCCUGGAUUCAGCGGCGGACGGGUGAGUAAUGCCUAGGAAUCUGCCUGGUAGUGGGGGAUAACGUCCGGAAACGGGCGCUAAUACCGCAUACGUCCUGAGGGAGAAAGUGGGGGAUCUUCGGACCUCACGCUAUCAGAUGAGCCUAGGUCGGAUUAGCUAGUUGGUGGGGUAAAGGCCUACCAAGGCGACGAUCCGUAACUGGUCUGAGAGGAUGAUCAGUCACACUGGAACUGAGACACGGUUCGGACUCCUACGGGAGGCAGCAGUGGGGAAUAUUGGACAAUGGGCGAAAGCCUGAUCCAGCCAUGCCGCGUGUGUGAAGAAGGUCUUCGGAUUGUAAAGCACUUUAAGUUGGGAGGAAGGGCAGUAAGUUAAUACCUUGCUGUUUUGACGUUACCAACAGAAUAAGCACCGGCUAACUUCGU